rnacentral:rRNA from 1 species
GAGAUGUGAGUCAUCUGGACUCGUCGAACUGCUCAGUAACACGUAGCUAACCUACCCUCAAGAGGAGGAUAAUCCUGGAAAACUGGGGCUAAUACUCCAUAGUUGUAUAGUGCUGGAAUGCCUUUACAACCAAAGCUUCGGCGCUUGAGGAUGGGGCUGCGGCCUAUCAUGGCUGUUGUGAGUGUAAUGUACUCACAAACCUAUAACGGGUAAGGGUCAUGAAAGUGAGAGCCCUGAGAUGCUUUCUGAGACAUGAAAGCAGGUCCUACGGGACGCAGCAAGCGCGAAACCUUUCCAAUGGCUUAACGGUCGAGAAGGGAAUCCUGAGUGACUAUACAUUGUAUAGUCUUUUGUUUUGUCUAAAUAGCAAGACGAAUAAGUGGUGGGUAAGACGGGUGGCAGCCGCCGCGGUAAUACCCGCGCCGCAAGUGGUGACCGCUGUUAUUGGGUUUAAAGCGUCCGUAGCCGGUUUAGCAAGUUCUUUGUGAAAUCCAGCAGCUAACUGUUGGGCUUGUUGAGAAUACUACUACACUUGGGAUUGGGAGAGGGUAGAGGUAUUCCAUGUGU